AAGACUAUAGACCUGCGGAGUACCUGCGGAGGGAUCAUUAAUGAGUCUCUAAAACUCCCAACCCAUGUGAACAUACCUCUGUUGCCUCGGCGGCCUACCCGGUAGCUACCCUGUAGUUACCCUGUAGCCCGCCGAAGGACAUCAAAACUCUGUUUUUAGUAUUAUCUCUGAGAACAACUUUUAAAUAAGUCAAAACUUUUAGCAACGGAUCUCU
rnacentral:misc_RNA from 1 species